ensembl:rRNA 5S_rRNA 5S ribosomal RNA
UGCCACAGCCAAAUCACUCUGCAGCCCAAGACCGGUUACUCACUGAAGCUAAGCAGGGCUGAGCCUGAUCAGUUCCUGGAUGGGAGAUUACAUGGGAAAACUAGGUUGGUGUUGGAA